GCAGGCACAGAACUUAAUCCGACAAAGCGGAAAUAACCUUCAAUUAACGGUUCUCAGAAACCAAGGAAGUGGACUUGACAGAAUUGAGUCGCUCAAACCAAAAGGACCUGUGAAAUUUUCUCCGUGGAGGCAACAGUAGAUACUGAACACCUGUGCACGGGGUGGUUCCUGUAUACAGUGAGGUAGCGUGAUUCACGUUCUGUGUCUAUCGUGCACGAGGACUUGCCGGAUGGAUUACAGUGAUAUUAUUUUGAAUUCGCCAUUUGUUUUAAAAGACCUGCUUAUUUUACAUGGGAUAUACAAAGUUCAUUUAGUGUCUGUGCUUUUAAUUCUAGUAUUUUAAUUUAUUGAUUUUUUUCUCAAUUUAAAAGCAUUUGCCUAUAAAGUCUGAAAAUCUAUUAGCACUGUGUGAAAAAACCUUUAACGUAUUCCCCGUUUUAUUUCAUUAUUUCUCACAUUUUAAAAAAUUAUUUUGCUUUUUUUUUUUUUUUUGCUUUAUUUGACAUUUCCAAAAUGCUACAUUUCUUGCCUUUAACUCCAUUGCAUUAUUGUAUCGUUCAAAUGUUGAUGAUGACGAAAUUAUGACGUAAUGAAACGUCAUUUGUGAUGAUUGUCAUGGACAGUAAAAUGUUUUGACUGUUAGAUAAUCAGGCCGAGAGGUGCAAUAUGGUCAGGUGUUGUCAAUAUUCAUAGAGUGUUUCUGAGUUGUUUUAUUUGUCUUAUUAUAACAGUUUGUAAAUACUGAUGAUUGAUCAUCUAAAGGAGAGUUUUUUUAAAUAAAACGAGAUACAUAUUUUUAA
rnacentral:misc_RNA from 1 species